CCGUGAAGCUGGAUUCGCUAGUAAUCGCGCAUCAGCCAUGGCGCGGUGAAUACGUUCCCGGGCCUUGUACACACCGCCCGUCAAGCCAUGGAAGCCGGGAGUGCCUGAAGUGCGUGAGCGCAAGCAGCGCCCUAAGGUAAAACCGGUGACUGGGGCUAAGUCGUAACAAGGUAGC
rnacentral:rRNA from 1 species